CCUACGGGAGGCAGCAGUGAGGAAUAUUGGUCAAUGGACGAGAGUCUGAACCAGCCAAGUAGCGUGAAGGAUGACUGCCCUAUGGGUUGUAAACUUCUGUUAUAGGGGAAUAAAAUGUUCCACGUGUGGGAUUUUGUAUGUACCAUAUGAAUAAGGAUCGGCUACCGCCGGGCCAGCAGCCGCGGUAAGACGGAGGAGCCGAUCGUUAUCCGGAUUGAUUGGGUUGAAAGGGAGCGUAGGGGGAUUGUUAAGGCAGUUGUGAAAGUUUGCGGCUCCACCGUAAAAUUGCAGUUGAAACUGGCAGUCUUGAGUACAGUAGCGGUGGGCGGAAUUCUUGGUGUAGCGGUGACCUGCUUCGCUAUCCCG
rnacentral:rRNA from 1 species